GACGAACGCUGGCGGCGUGCUUAACACAUGCAAGUCGAACGGAAAGGCCCUGCUUUUGUGGGGUGCUCGAGUGGCGAACGGGUGAGUAACACGUGAGUAACCUGCCCUUGACUUUGGGAUAACUUCAGGAAACUGGGGCUAAUACCGGAUAGGAGCUCCUGCUGCAUGGUGGGGGUUGGAAAGUUUCGGCGGUUUGGGAUGGACUCGCGGCGUAUCAGGUUGUUGGUGGGGUAGUGGCUUACCAAGGCUUUGACGGGUAGCCGGCCUGAGAGGGUGACCGGCCACAUUGGGACUGAGAUACGGCCCAGACUGCUACGUGAGGCAGCAGUGGGAAAUAUUGCACAAUGGGCGGAAGCCUGAUGCAGCAACGCCGCGUGCGGGAUGACGGCCUUCGGGUUGUAAACCGCUUUCGCCUGUGACGAAGCGUGAGUGACGGUAAUGGGUAAAGAAGCACCGGCUAACUACGUG
rnacentral:rRNA from 1 species